UACGUAUGGUGCAAGCGUUAUCCGGAUUUACUGGGCGUAAAGGGAGCGCAGGCGGCGCGCCAAGUCUGAUGUGAAACCCCGGGGCUCAACCCCGGGCAUGCAUUGGAAACUGGCGGGCUGGAGUGUCGGAGAGGUAAGCGGAAUUCCUAGUGUAGCGGUGAAAUGCGUAGAUAUUAGGAGGAACACCAGUGGCGAAGGCGGCUUACUGGACGGCAACUGACGCUGAGGCUCGAAAGCGUGGGGAGCAAACAGG
rnacentral:rRNA from 1 species